rnacentral:rRNA from 1 species
AGUGAACGCUGGCGGUAGGCCUAACACAUGCAAGUCGAACGGCAGCACAGUAAGAGCUUGCUCUUACGGGUGGCGAGUGGCGGACGGGUGAGGCAUACAUCGCAAUCUACUUUUUCGUGGGGGAUAACGUAGGGAAACUUACGCUAAUACCGCAUACGACCUACGGGUGAAAGCAGUGGAUCUUCGGACCUUGCGCGAUUGAAUGAGCCGAUGUCGGAUUAGCUAGUUGGCGGGGUAAAGGCCCACCAAGGCGACGAUCCGUAGCUGGUCUGAGAGGAUGAUCAGCCACACUGGAACUGAGACACGGUCCAGACUCCUACGGGAGGCAGCAGUGGGGAAUAUUGGACAAUGGGCGCAAGCCUGAUCCAGCCAUACCGCGUGGGUGAAGAAGGCCUUCGGGUUGUAAAGCCCUUUUGUUGGGAAAGAAAAGCAGCAGGUUAAUACCCCGCUGUUCUGACGGUACCCAAAGAAUAAGCACCGGCUAACUUCGUG